CCCUUCGGGGUGACCGUUGGUGCUGACGAGUGGCGGACGGGUGAGUAACGCUUGGGAAUCUACCCUGUAUGGGGGACAACCCGGGGAAACUCGGGCUAAUACCGCAUACGUCCUACGGGAGAAAGAGGGCCUCUUCUUGAAAGCUCUCGCUACUGGAUGAGCCCAAGUCGGAUUAGCUUGUUGGUGAGGUAAUAGCUCACCAAGGCUACGAUCCGUAGCUGGUCUGAGAGGACGAUCAGCCACACUGGGACUGAGACACGGCCCAGACUCCUACGGGAGGNCGAGCAGUGGGGAAUAUUGGACAAUGGGGGCAACCCUGAUCCAGCAAUGCCGCGUGUGUGAAGAAGGCCUGCGGGUUGUAAAGCACUUUCAGCAGAGAAGAAAAGCCUAGGGCUAAUACACUCUGGGUCUUGACGUAACCUGCAGAAGAAGCACCGGCUAACUCCGUG
rnacentral:rRNA from 1 species